rnacentral:rRNA from 1 species
CGUAGGGGCCGAGCGUUGUCCGGAGUUACUGGGCGUAAAGCGCGCGCAGGCGGCUCGUCAAGCCUGACGUGAAAGCCCCCGGCUCAACCGGGGAGGGUCGUCGGGGACUGGCGGGCUUGAGGUCGGCAGGGGCUGGUGGAAUUCCCGGUGUAGUGGUGAAAUGCGUAGAGAUCGGGAGGAACACCCGUGGCGAAGGCGGCCAGCUGGGCCGGACCUGACGCUGAGGCGCGAAGGCGUGGGGAGCGAACGGGAUUAGAUACCCCGGUAGUCCACGCAGUAAACGAUGCAGACUAGGCGUGGGGGGACUUGACCCCCUCCGUGCCGAAGCCAACGCGUGAAGUCUGCCGCCUGGGGAGUACGGCCGCAAGGCUA